UACGUAGGUGGCGAACGUUAUCCGGAAUCAUUGGGCGUAAAGGGUGCGUAGGUGGCGCCGUAAGUCGGGUGUGAAAUUUCGGAGCUUAACUCCGAAACUGCAUUCGAUACUGCGGUGCUUGAGGACUGGAGAGGAGACUGGAAUUCAUGGUGUAGCAGUGAAAUGCGUAGAGAUCAUGAGGAAGACCAGUGGCGAAGGCGGGUCUCUGGACAGUUCCUGACACUGAGGCACGAAGGCCAGGGGAGCAAACGGG
rnacentral:rRNA from 1 species